CCCGACCGCCCCACCAAUGGCAAGGGAGGUGGGAGGGCAGCUGGUACCAGAGGGAGGCGAGGAGGGGGUGGCAUCCUCCAUGGAAGGUUUGGUUGAGCGGCAGCCCAGAGAGAGCGAGGCGCCCUUUUUGCGCUACGCCUCCGGCGAAGGGGAAGAGAGGUGGGGGGGGGACGACAAAAAACGCAAGGAGGCUUGCUGCAGGCGGCAGCUCGCAGUUGUUGCGGCUCCCGAGAGAGGCGCCUCUCUGCGGAAGCGAGAGGUGAUCGGGUCUUUGCUGAGAAACAUCCUUUGGCGCCUCAUAUUUGCCCCCCACCCCGGCCAAACUCGGCGAGCUUCAAGGCCGCUGCAGUCGGCGAGAGAAAACUUGUACAGUACUGUAUAUAGAAUGUGCGUAUCGGUAGCGAGGGGGGCGGUCUCGAGUCACCUGUCAGUCACUCUUCACCGCUUUUGCUCGAGAAAGACUGAAGCGGGGGAGGGGAGAGAAGAGGAAGCGAAGCACCGGGGUCAAAGAUUUCUAUGAAAAACCAGCAAAUCACAGAGGAAAUGUGAUUUGAACCAAUAGCUGGGAACUCAGCCCAGAAAGCCAGGACAGCAGGUACACUGAGAGCUUCUGCAAAUUCCUUGUGUUUCUAAUUUCAUAUGGCCAAAUUCAAUUCAAGUUCCCCAAUCUGCAGUUUCCCAUUGCAAAAGGCAAAGCUAUUCUAAGAAUGAAGAAUAAUACUUUUUACAGAUCAAGAAACUGUUGCAGGGAAAAAGAUGCUUCAGCAUUUACAAAUCUAUC